rnacentral:pre_miRNA from 1 species
AAAAAGACAAACCCUGGUUUCCGUGCCCAACGUUUGACCGUUCGUCUUAUUUGAAAAAAUUAUGAAAAAAAUUAAAAAGACAAGUCACGCAUAAAAUAUUAAUCAUGUUUUAUCAUCUAACAACAAUGAAAAUACGAAUUAUAAAAAAAUUUCAUAUAAGACGGACAGUCAAAGUUGGACACGUAAACCUAGGGUUUGCCUUUUG